rnacentral:tRNA from 1 species
GGCGCGGUAGCCAAGUGGUAAGGCAGAGGUCUGCAAAACCUCUAUUCGGCGGUUCGAUUCCGCCCCGCGCCUCCA